CUGAUCCAGCCAUGCCGCGUGAGUGAAGAAGGCCUUCGGGUUGUAAAGCUCUUUUGUCCGGAAAGAAAAGCUUCCGAUUAAUACCCGGGAGUCAUGACGGUACCGGAAGAAUAAGCACCGGCUAACUUCGUGCCAGCAGCCGCGGUAAUACGAAGGGUGCAAGCGUUACUCGGAAUUACUGGGCGUAAAGCGUGCGUAGGUGGUUCGUUAAGUCUGAUGUGAAAGCCCUGGGCUCAACCUGGGAAUGGCAUUGGAUACUGGCGGACUGGAGUGCGGUAGAGGAUGGUGGAAUUCCCGGUGUAGCAGUGAAAUGCGUAGAGAUCGGGAGGAACAUCUGUGGCGAAGGCGACCAUCUGGACCAGCACUGACACUGAGGCACGAAAGCGUGGGGAGCAAACAGGAUUAGAUACCCUGGUAGUCCACGCCCUAAACGAUGCGAACUGGAUGUUGGGAGCAACUAGGCUCUCAGUAUCGAAGCUAACGCGUUAAGUUCGCCGCCUGGGGAGUACGGUCGCAAGACUGAAACUCAAAGGAAUUGACGG
rnacentral:rRNA from 1 species